UACAGGGGGGGCAAGCGUUGUUCGGAAUUACUGGGCGUAAAGGGUCUGUAGGUGGCCAACUAAGUCAGACGUGAAAUCCCUCAGCUUAACUGGGGAACUGCGUCUAAUACUGGAUGGCUUGAGUGUGGGAGAGGAAUGCGGAAUUCCAGGUGUAGCGGUGAAAUGCGUAGAUAUCUGGAGGAACACCGGUGGCGAAGGCGGCAUUCUGGACCAUAACUGACACUGAGAGACGAAAGCCAGGGGAGCAAACGGG
rnacentral:rRNA from 1 species